AGAAUCUUCCACAGCAGUUGGUUGGGUCAGUGGAUUGUGGAGUAUUUAUGUUGAUGUAUGCUCUGCACCUUGUCUUGGAUGCGCCAUUUGACUUCACAGCUGACAAAGGCGUUCACUAAAGGGGCACUGGAGAGUGUGAAUGAGGCCCAGAGCAGUGAGGAGGUAUGU